CUGCUGCCUUCCGUAGGAGUCUGGUCCGUGUCUCAGUACCAGUGUGGGGGACCUUCCUCUCAGAACCCCUACGCAUCGUCGCCUUGGUGGGCGUUACCCCGCCAACUAGCUAAUGCGCCGCAUGCCCAUCCGUCUCCGAUUAUUCUUUCAAAACCAGACGAUGCCGUCCAGCUUCAUACGGGGUAUUAGACGCCGUUUCCGACGAUUAUCCCCCUGAGACGGGCAGGUUGCAUACGUGUUACUCACCCGUGCGCCGGUUGCCGG
rnacentral:rRNA from 1 species